rnacentral:rRNA from 1 species
UCCAUAGGUUAAUGAGGCGAACCGGGGGAACUGAAACAUCUAAGUACCCCGAGGAAAAGAAAUCAACCGAGAUUCCCCCAGUAGCGGCGAGCGAACGGGGAGGAGCCCAGAGCCUGAAUCAGUGUGUGUGUUAGUGGAAGUGUCUGGAAAGGCGCGCGAUACAGGGUGACAGCCCCGUACACAAAAAUGCACAUGCUGUGAGCUCGAUGAGUAGGGCGGGACACGUGGUAUCCUGUCUGAAUAUGGGGGGACCAUCCUCCAAGGCUAAAUACUCCUGACUGACCGAUAGUGAACCAGUACCGUGAGGGAAAGGCGAAAAGAACCCCGGCGAGGGGAGUGAAAAAGAACCUGAAACCGUGUACGUACAAGCAGUGGGAGCCUCUUAAUGGGGUGACUGCGUACCUUUUGUAUAAUGGGUCAGCGACUUAUAUUCUGUAGCAAGGUUAACCGAAUAGGGGAGCCGAAGGGAAACCGAGUCUUAACUGGGCGUUAAGUUGCAGGGUAUAGACCCGAAACCCGGUGAUCUAGCCAUGGGCAGGUUGAAGGUUGGGUAACACUAACUGGAGGACCGAACCGACUAAUGUUGAAAAAUUAGCGGAUGACUUGUGGCUGGGGGUGAAAGGCCAAUCAAACCGGGAGAUAGCUGGUUCUCCCCGAAAGCUAUUUAGGUAGCGCCUCGUGAAUUCAUCUCCGGGGGUAGAGCACUGUUUCGGCAAGGGGGUCAUCCCGACUUACCAACCCGAUGCAAACUGCGAAUACCGGAGAAUGUUAUCACGGGAGACACACGGCGGGUGCUAACGUCCGUCGUGAAGAGGGAAACAACCCAGACCGCCAGCUAAGGUCCCAAAGUCAUGGUUAAGUGGGAAACGAUGUGGGAAGGCCCAGACAGCCAGGAUGUUGGCUUAGAAGCAGCCAUCAUUUAAAGAAAGCGUAAUAGCUCACUGGUCGAGUCGGCCUGCGCGGAAGAUGUAACGGGGCUAAACCAUG